AUACAGAGGGUGCGAGCGUUAAUCGGAAUUACUGGGCGUAAAGCGCGCGUAGGCGGUCUAUUAAGUCAGAUGUGAAAUCCCAGGGCUCAACCUUGGAACUGCAUCUGAUACUGGUAGACUAGAGUUUUGGAGAGGGAAGUAGAAUUUCAGGUGUAGCGGUGAAAUGCAUAGAGAUCUGAAGGAAUACCAGUGGCGAAGGCGACUUCCUGGCCAAAAACUGACGCUGAGGUGCGAAAGCGUGGGUAGCAAACGGGAUUAGAAACCCCAGUAGUCC
rnacentral:rRNA from 1 species